rnacentral:rRNA from 1 species
GGGCGAACGCUGGCGGCGUGCUUACCACAUGCAAGUCGAACGGAAAGGCCUGCUUUCCCUUGUGGAUUGCGGGUACUCGAGUGGCGAACGGGUGAGUAACACGUGAGUGAUCUGCCCCCAACUUGGGUAUAAGCCUGGGAAACUGGGUCUAAUUCCCGAUAGGACUGCAGGGUGGUGCCUGUGGUGGAAAACGAUUUUCUAGUGGUUGGGGAUGAGCUCGCGGCCUAUCAGCUUGUUGGUGGGGUAAUGGCCUACCAAGGCGGCGACGGGUAGCCGGCCUGAGAGGGUGGACGGCCACAGUGGGACUGAGAUACGGCCCAGACUCCUACGGGAGGCAGCAGUGGGGAAUAGUGCACAAUGCGCGGAAGCCUGAUGCAGCGACGCCGCGUGGGGGAUGACGGCCUUCGGGUUGUAAACUCCUUUCGACCGCGAGGAAGCCACCUGGUUGGAAGGGUGGUGACGGUAGUGGUAGAAGAAGCACCGGCUAACUACGUG